AAUAUUUGUAUAAAUAAUGACUUAACACUGUUUUGUUCUAGAUUUAAAUAAGCAAAGAGAAAUUUGACUGAAAACAGAUAUUUCUUUUUGAGCACCCCUGCUAACACACACACACACACACACCUGAAACGACAAA
rnacentral:sRNA from 1 species